rnacentral:rRNA from 1 species
UUCCUUACGGAGGCAGCAGUGGGGAAUAUUGCACAAUGGGCGAAAGCCUGAUGCAGCGACGCCGCGUGAGGGAUGACGGCCUUCGGGUUGUAAACCUCUUUCAGCAGGGAAGAAGCGAGAGUGACGGUACCUGCAGAAGAAGCGCCGGCUAACUACGUGCCAGCAGCCGCGGUAAUACGUAGGGCGCAAGCGUUGUCCGGAAUUAUUGGGCGUAAAGAGCUCGUAGGCGGCUUGUCGCGUCGGUUGUGAAAGCCCGGGGCUUAACCCCGGGUCUGCAGUCGAUACGGGCAGGCUAGAGUUCGGUAGGGGAGAUCGGAAUUCCUGGUGUAGCGGUGAAAUGCGCAGAUAUCAGGAGGAACACCGGUGGCGAAGGCGGAUCUCUGGGCCGAUACUGACGCUGAGGAGCGAAAGCGUGGGGAGCGAACAGGAUUAGAUACCCUGGUAGUCCACGCCGUAAACGGUGGGCACUAGGUGUGGGCAACAUUCCCACGUUGUCCGUGCCGCAGCUAACGCAUUAAGUGCCCCGCCUGGUAGGACGG